UUGGGGAUGCCAAAGUUGCCAGGGAAUGACACGUCCCUGAUCCCCCCCCUGCCUGUAGCAAUGUAUUGAAUGAGCUUUUCUCCUUCCCACCUGUGCUACACAGCUGGAGAGUGCUGUGGGUCUGCAGUUGGUCAGGGGCUGUGUGCAUCCCUCAGGCUGAGCGCUGUCAGAUAUGACAUCCCAACCUCAACCAUUAGUCUGACUAUACAUGGCAUUUCUUUCUGUCCUUCUGCCAGGUUGUCUUCUGAGAAUAAUAUAUGUACAUUGCAAUGUUAGCUAACGAUGCCAAGGACUGCUGGAGGAACUCUUGCAAAUGACCUGUUUCUGUGUGAGAUAAUCUGUGGGUUAUUAAAAAGACAUAUAUUUAAAAAAUCCUAAAGUCAACAGAUUUGCAUGAAAUAUUGUCUGCCUCGUCUGGCUUACUUGACACUUUGGCUGUCUCAGAACAGAUGGGACAGUAUCCAGCUGUGAGAAAGGAAAUACAUUUAAUGUUCAUAUUGUGGUCAUUGAAAUGUGAGGGGCACCAACAGGCUCAUAAGGAACCACUGAGAAAAUCCCCAAAGCCUAUCAAAGUCUAGGUUGCAUAAUUUUGACAUAACAGUGCUGCUCCGAGUAGCUGUGCUAAAUCUAAUAGCUGUCCAGGCUGCUCUGUCCUGUCAUGAAAGAUUAGGCUGAUUAAGACCAGUGUUUUUCAAGAAAUCAUUUGUCCCUGCAGAUCCACGCAGGAUGCUCUUGUGGGCUUAAAGAACCUCUGAGGAAGCAGGAAGCUAAAAGUUUGAAGAGGAAAAAGGAUGGAUAUAAAAUAGUGACCAUCAGCCAUCACUAAUGUUCGUUUAUGUUCCUGAAUGGAGCUCAGGAGCAAAGCUGUGCUGCUGCUGGUUGAUAAAGAGCCUUUGCUCUGAGGGAGUGGAUUCUGAAAAACACCACUGGAAAAAUGCAACUACAGUCAUUUGUUUAGAGCCGGCUUCUUCCUUUCCAAAGGUAAGACUGUUGGAUUUUUGUGCCCUUAUUCUUUGCAAGGUAACCAUUCCAUUGAGAUUCAACUGCAUGGAUGGGCACUCUGGACUCAGCUCUGCCAUCUCUUUCUCAGCAGUAAUGUUCUAACAGCACGUACCAGCAAAAUCACUAGAAAAUUGGGUGCGUCUCCAUAUUUCAGAGAAAAAGUGGAAAAAUAUUGAUCUGAAAUAGUAAGAGCUGUGGCAAGACAUGCUGGAAGCAUAGCCAGGAAGCAAUGUGGAGACUGUAGGGGGACAAACAACAGGGCAGAUGAAGCAUGUUGUGUUCCUGAUCCGCCCCUGAGAUGUUACCUCAGAACUGUUUAGUGCUGGGUGAGGUGUGUGUGGUCAAGUUACUUGCAAUUUGAAGCUCUGUUGGCCCACCGAUGGUGUGUGGUUGUUCCAAGAAGUCAAUGGCAGUGAGCCAUUGCCUAGGCAGGUGCAAGUCCUGUUGGCUUCCUCCUUAACAGGGCUCCAUCCAAAGGGAAAAGCAGACCAAGAGCACAUCAGCAGAUCCCAUAACAUCAAUUAGGUGGGCUUGGGUUCAAGAGGGAAAUUCUCUCAGGGCCAACGUACCCAGCAGCCAAAGUUCCUGCUGGUAUGAGUGGGGCCUGCAUUGCAUGGUCUUCAUUUCAUUGGUGUGAGCAGGGCCUGCUCCAGGCUAACCUGCUUCCCGCUUAGACAACACCAUGUUACCUCAAGUGCCUUCUGCUGUGCCGUCCCCGCAACCGGGCGGGUUUCUCAUUUUCCUAUUGAAAGCAAAGCAGUUCCUCCAAGAGAAGUUCUCUCAGCCAUGAUAUCUUGCCAAUGGAAAAAGUGACACUAAAAAUAAACUUGUUUCAGAAGGAGGCAAAGGCAGCUUCCAAAAAUCUUGAACUGAAAAGAAAAAAGGGGGGAAAAAAGAAAAAAGGAGGAAAAAAGUCCCAGCAGUCUAGACAACUGCAGUAGGUGGAGGCAAUAACAACCAAAAGGAAUAAAUUAAACUGUGGUUGAGGGGAGAAUUUGUCUCCCCUGAUUGCAGGACAAAAGAAAUCCAAUUCCUUGUUUGUAGAAAGAGAUGUUUGGGAAUUUCUCAGGCCAGCCGAGGGCCUAUUAGAGUGAUGUGAACUGGAAAUGGAGUGAGAGGGCUCUGGCUGGUUGCAUGACCCAACUGCAGACCACACACAACUCUCAGGGCUAUCGUGGGGUGGUGAAGCUGUUAUAGGAUUGAGCAUAGCCAGCUCCUCUCUGCAACCUCAGCAUCUGCACAGCCAUGGGAGGGAACGCCGCUCUGUCCCCUCCAGACAACCACCUCUGCUGCUCAAACCCUACAGCCAGAACCCUAUCGAUGCUUAAUGGAUGCAAGUGGUGGCUGCGGCUUUGAAAUUCUCAAGGCAGAGUUGUGACUGUGGUUUCAAAAUCCCCACAGCAGUCGAUUUCCCCUUUUUGUUCUCCCAGUUGCAGGCACACUGAGGGCUGGGUGCUGCCAGUGCUCUGGGGGGUGGGGGGUUGAGUUCCUCGUUCCUGGGUGUUGUGGCUGCAUGAUUCUCAAAGGAUUUUAUGCUUUUUAUGUGUCCAGAGGCAUACUUUUAUGUAUGUAUAUUUGCAUGCCACGCUAACUUGGACGUGUUUGCCAGUUACUUGAUUUGGUAUAGGCAGGACUUCAUUCCAUGUCAGUACUCACGGUCUUUAAUGGGAGAACUUUACUUAUUUGGUUUUUUAACUUCUGAAGAAACGACUGAAAACUCAUCCAAAGGAAAUAACCACAGUCAAAUUCUCUGUCUUCUUUAUCCCCUUGAUGUCAUUGGUCUGUGUAUUAUCUGCCUUGUAAAAAUGAAAGCUCUCUCAAGAGUGGGUGUUUAAAACAUAGAGAAGAAAUCUAAGUGCUUCUUCUCCCUGGAAUGUACCUGGAAUCAGGCUGGGCAUUAGUUCCCAUCUCAGUCAGAGAGGAGACCCAUGAGAUGUCUGCAACCCUUCUGCUAGGAAUUGGUACUGGUGAUGAAUCGUGAGGCAAUGGGUCAUUUCUCAUUUGAUAAAAGUCCCAGUGUCCAGAACAAAUUCCACUUUGUUUUUAAGAUUUCCCCCUACACUGAUAUUGAAAUCCAAACCUUUCAUCGCUUUUCAUGCACCCUUGCACUGCAGGAGUGGCUCUGUCUUGGAGGUAAACGCAAUGUGUUGGCUUUUACAAGGUAACUGUAGAAUGAUUGGGUUGGAAGAGAUCUUAAAGAUCACCCAGUCCCACAUGCUGCCGUGGGCUGAAUGUUCAGGCUGUCCACAGCCCCAUCCAUGGCUUUGAGCACCCCCAGGGAUGGGGCACCCUCAGGUUCAAUUGGCAUCCUGUGCCAGUGUCAGCUUCCAUUUUGAAAUAGAAUUAUUUUUUCAAAUGAAUUAUUAUUUGUGCAGAGUUGUUAUCAGCUCUAUACAACCAAAAAGGCACAACUGAUGAAAUCCCAGUACCUCUGCCCAGCAGUUAUAUGGAUAAAGAUCUGAGGUGCAGUGUCCCUGUGUUUUCAAAGCUGUGUUAAAGUUAUGGCUGGCACGACAGGCAAAUCCACUUACAGCUUGUCUUAUCACUACAGGGAGGUUCAACCCAAGUGUUUAAUGCUCAGCAGUGUUUUGUGGAGUUUCCUUGUCUGUGGGUUUGUUCCUGCUCGUGCUCUGUGGUCGUCUGGGUAGGUUUGCUUGGGAAGUGGUAACGCAGAUAAUGGGGAGAUGUUUGUAUGAAUGCGGAUAAAAGGCGUCGUGCCAUUUCUGCACCACCUGACCUGCCUCCUCCUCCCAGGCUCCUUUUGAUGUUUGCUUUCAUGGCGAUUUCUUACAAUGUGAAAUUCAUCCUUGUUUUAAUGGUUUGGGGAUGGUGUGUUUUUUCAGAUGAACAGAACAAGGAUGUGGAGCUCUGAAAGAUUCCUCUGCUCUUUAUCAGCUAUUUCUUUCAAGUACAAAAUGCUUUUUCUUUUCCUUUUUGUUCUGUAAAGGUGGAUUCUUCCCCUGUGCUGUUUACUAAUUAAAAGUUAGUUGGUAAAGAAUAAGCAUAUUGUUCCUGCAACGGUUUGAUCUAUUGUUAUUAGGGCUCUGUGUUGUUACAGAUGAGAUCAAAGAAUUUAAUUUAUGAUGGGUGGAUAGGUCAAGUUCAGUCGUCUGAAGCGAGCGCGGGGUGGAAAGCACAGCUAGGCAGCAGCAACCCAGGCAAUGAGCUUUUCCUUGUAAAUAAUAUAGCCCCACUUCCUCCACUUUUGACUUAAGCAGCUCAGAAGCCUUUUGGGUAUGAACAUUGGAGGACAGAUGGAUGAAGUCUAUGAAGCCCCUUCUGCCUUCCCUUGGUACAGUACCCACACGAGAUAAUGUAGUAGCAGAGGAAUCUGAGGCUUGAGAUAAAGUAGAAACCCAAGGACCACAGCUGUGUUUCAGCCAACCUGAUUCACAGUUCUGCAUUGUGUCUGCAUGUGUGCUGCAAGUUCCUAUGGUAUUUUAACGUGGUUUUGAAAUAUCCCUUGAGCUUGCAGCAAGAAGCUCUAAUUAAGACUUAGAGUUGAUGCUGCUAAGUCUUAGUCACGCCCUAAUAACAAAAGGGGAACAGGGCAGUGGAACAAAUUUAUUGGGUCUGCUUAUAGUCUCUAGCUGCAAUAUUUUCCUUGAACUCUGCUCAAAGAGGAGUGGGUUGGAUUAUUUCCAUUUCAUCUUUAUUUAUUGCACACCAGCGUGGAGCACUGUUAUGAAACUAAGAAAGACACCCACCUCUCCCCUCUGCCUAUGGAAACCAUGAGGACUGGCUUGACGUGCAAGAUGAGUAACCUGGGAGCAGUUCCUCGGCUCUAUUAUUAGUGCGUGUCUAUGAAUGCGUGGCUAAUACAGCUGCAUACGUGGUUUCUGCUUUCCUUGUAGUCUGCCCAAGAGGAGCCUGGAAGCUGGUUUGGGUGGGAACCACAUCUCCUCAUGUUUGGGGAGCACUUAGCACAACACAGACUGGCUGGAUGGCAGGGGAGCAUGGAACCAGGCUCUCAGCUCCAUCGCUGGGCUUUGCCUCACUGUGUGUCUGUGUAUGGUUCUUGGUCCCAGCAAGGACUGCGGUUACUUUGGGCUAGGCAAACUCAUUACAAGGUAGCCAAGCUGUAAACUGUGCAUACCAACCUAUGCAAAACAGCUCUGCUUUUUAAAAUAAAAUAAAUGGGAAAAUGUCCCUUUUCCUGACCUGAUUUACAGGAGAGGAGUAAGCACCAGUGGUUCUCUUGUGGUUGGCUCAGCUCAAUCAUCUGUAGGGUCUGUGUUCUCCUUGCUUGUGAAGUUUUAGUAUGAUGAGAAUCCUCCAUCUGGAGUCCCCGGGGUGCCCUAUUCCAUGCAGGCUCCUGUUCCCAGGCUCUUUGUUGUCUGUCUGCUGCUUGGCCAAUCUGAUCAAAGCCCAUCCACUCCAAAUACACCUAUCUUGGGUGUUACCUGCAUCAGUGGCCCAAUGCUGACCCUGCUUUGGAGUGGGGACCAGGCUUUGGUGGCCAUUCCAGUUUGUCAUGCUGAUGACUCCGCCUUUUCCCUGUUGACUCCUGCUCCCAAGUGGCAGCCUUCAAACUUCAGCUCUGUGCUGUAGCUGAGCAGGGAACUGAUCCAGCUUUAGACAAACAAACAGAACUUACUCAUAAAGUUGGAUUUUUCUGCUGGGGUAUUUUUGAAGAGAGACAGUUCCUCAGAUAGGUUGGCAGUGCAGUGGUGCAGUUUUGGUGUGACACAGGGAGGCACCAGGAAGGAGGGAGAUGCUCAUAGAGGGAUGACCUUGUGCCUGAUGUGGUUCCAAACCAACUGGAAACCCUGUGCUGCUCAGAAACAGAUUUGUCUGGCUGUCACGGGACUGGCAGCAGUAUUUCAGCUGCAGUGUCUCUUAAAAUAUUUUCAGUUCCUGAUAAUAUCACCAGUUCCCGAUUCUACCUUUUUUGGUGACUGUGCCUGGUCAGAAUGCUAAAGGGAUGGGGAACAGCCGCAUUUUGGUUGCAGUUCAUGCUCAUGAUUUUCAUCAUCUCUUUGCUAUUGGUUUCUUCUUCAUCAUCACCACACUCUGGGCUCUGGAUUUGGCUCUUUUUCCUUGCUUAGCUAUGUUCUGGUGUAUCCCCUGAUUUCCUUCUCUUUUUUUCAUCAUGCCCUUAGAACUGUUUUUUUAAGAUCCAUCUCCUUGUCAUAGAAUCAUCAAGGUUGGAGAAGCAAUCUAAGAUCACCUAGUCCAACCACCCACCUACCACCAAUAUUGCCCACUAAACCACAUCCUUCAGUGCCACAUCUCCAUGGUUCUUGAACACCUCCAGGAAUAGUGACUCCACCACUUCCCUGAGCAGCUUGUGCCAGUGACCUACACUUGACCUUCUUGUACUUUCAGCCUCGAACACCUCAGAGGGUCUAAUGAUUCAUUUGGGUCGUAAAAGGGCAAUACUGGGAUGGAAGACGCUCUUGGGGUAUUGUUUUAACCCAAGAAGAAGUCAUGAAUCAGUGCAUUCUUGUGAAUCUUGCACCUCAUGACUGCAGAUCCAGCAAGUCCACUCAGCCUGGAAAAACCUUGGGGAUGCUCACAAACAUUGAUCUGCUCAUCCAGACCUAAGCCCCAAAACCUUUAAAAUGUCCCGAUUGCCACUUUGUCUGCCACUCAGCUCUAAAAGGGGAAGUGAUGGGUGCUAUCAUGUCUAUCUCUUUGUCUUCAUUGCAUUCACCAUGCCUUCAUUUUCUGGAAUAAAAGCUUCAGCUUUUAUUUCUCCUGACUUUACAAUAUAUCAGCUUGGAAAUCAAUCUUCCCUUUCAGUUUACUUAAUAGUGCUGUCUAAAGUCAUCAGCUAGAAAGCAUUCAGUGGCGAUUACAAGAAAUCUUUUCAAAACCUACUCCCUGCUAUGGCAAGAGAGAGACAAAGAAAAUCUUUUAUAACAUAUUUUUUCUGUCUUAGAAAAAUAAUAGUGGCCCCUUGAGAGGCAUUAGUAACUGUUGAGAACCAAUUUUUAGAUGUAAUAAUUUAUCUUCUUGUUUAUAGAAACUACAAUUAAAUAUUUUUAAAUCUCCGGCAAAUGAUAAUUAGGGAUCUGCAGCCAAAUUUAGAGGGGGAGGAAAAUAAAUUAAAAUAAUAAUAAUAAUUUUUAAAAAAAAGAAAGAAUGACUUUAAUGUCUGGGGAUUUGUGUUGUUUGUUUCUGUUGACUAAUAUAUACAGUAAACUGCCUGAGUCCCGAGGUGACUCACGGGCUGUGCAGAUGGUGAGCUUUCCUCCAGGCUCGUUGAGUUAAUUGAGUAGGAAGAGAUGCUGCAUAACCGCCUCCUCUGUCCCAUGUCCCAAAACCAGAGGGUGUGUGAAAACCCCUCCUGCACGUCCAGCUGCAGGAACAUUGGAGUUUCCAGGCGAUUAUUUUCUUGGGAAGCUUGUGCUCUGACCCAGUGUGAGCAAAAUGAAUGUAGUUGGGGUCUUCUGGAGGCUGCCAAGAUGAAAGCCAGGCUGAGGGUGCAAGCUUGUAGGAGAAGGGCUUCGGGAGGAUAAAACAGCCCAAGUGUGGAGUCUCAGAGGGACGGUUCCCACACAGGAAGGGUCGUGGUGUAAGAAGCAAUCCCCUUCUUUUCAUUGCCGUGUCAUCUUCAUGAAGCUUUGGGGGAAAAGAGGUGUUAAAAACUAGAAAAUAAAAAUACAAGCUCAGUCUGGGUGAUGCAUUUUGUUGUCUGCCCUUGGUGCUUUCACAGUUGUGUGGGCUGUUUGAGUCUGCCUUUGGGAACCGGGGCAGCCCUUGAGGGGUGCCUGUGGGAGAUGGAGCAGGGACCUCAAAAGCACAAAUUCUUUAUGAAAUUCUCUGGAGAUCUCCUCUAAGCUGAUAGCUGGCUGCUUGAGUGAGGUGCCACGGAGCUGUGUCGCUUCACCUGGCCUCUCUCAGCACUGUCACAGAAUGAUAGAAUAAUUAAGGUUGGAAAAGACCACUAAGAUCCUCUGGUCCAACCAUCAACCCGUCAGCCUGCGUUCCAUUAUCCAAACUCACAUCUCCUUUAUGCAUUAUCUGAAAAAGUCUUUGUGUUCACAGUCAUGAAUGCUUGUGAAGUUUCCUAAAUACAAUCCAUUCCUCAGAAGUUUCCUUCAUGCAUGGCACAGCUUGUCCCAAAGUGAUGCUAACUCUGAGAUGCUUAAGAGAAGGAUGACAUCACAGCUCUGGUUGAAGCCAUCUGCUUGUGGCACUGAUCUGGAAGGUGAGCUCCCACAAGAACCCAGCCCUCGUUGGGAGUAUUGAGCUUUGCUGAAAGUCCUGCCUCUAUUCCACAUUCACAAGGACAGCUUUACAACGCAAAGCCUCUCCUUGGCAUGGGGACAGAUGCAAGCUUAUAACAGUAUGCACUUAGUUAUAGAGGUAAUUUUAUUUGCCUUUGUUAGAAUCUUUAAUAUAAAACUCAGUAAAAUGACCUCUCUAAUAAAAAUGGCUCAGAGAAAUAACAAUAAACAGGUUUUAUGAUACGGAAGAUGCAUUAAAAAAAUCCUGCUAAGGAAAAUGAUCUUAGGAGUCUCAAGAAAAUAUUAAUAUGAAAGAAGAGACUUUUUCCCUACCCGCUACAAUCAAAGAUGGGUGGUCUGCAUGCCAUGUGAGCUUCCUCACUCUGGCUCUUGUGGGCAGGAGGAGGGGAAGCUGUACUCUAUCUCAGUAAUGAACUCUGACUGUCCAGGAAAGCAUUUAUUUUUGCAAAAUUAAAAAGGGGGGGAGUCAAUGGAUCUGUUUAUAGCUAUAUAAAAAGGCAGAAAAGUUAAUGCUAACAUAUGUUGCUUCAUGUUCCCAGAGCAAAAACAUUUGCGGGAUGCUAUCCCGGAGCGCAGGUGGUAAGUGAUCAAUACUCUUAUUUGGCUUUAAGGGAUGGCAGAACUGCUCACCUGCAGGAAUUGCAGUGAAUGUUGGAACCCCUACGAACAGCUGGCAUUAAUGUACGGGCGUUGUAGGCGUUGUAUUACAUAGACUUCAGGAGUUGGCGCUCAGCUACCAGGAUCUUGAUAGCUUUUGUUCAGUGGGAGGCAUCCAUCCCAAGCACAGUUCUAGAUCCUAAUGGGGUGGAAGGACAUGUGCAAUGGGUGAAUCCAUUGAAAACUGAAUCAUGGUCAUGUUUUCUGCUGGCUGAGCAGGUUUCUUCUGUUCUCCAGCAUCAAUCACAUCUUAUUCCAGUGUCACAUAUUUAGAAACUGGUGAAAAUGCUUUCUUUCUCCUGCUUAUUGCAGGAUGUUUAGGUCAGACUCCUGGCCUGAGUUUUGAGACUACACGGCCCCAGAGCUGCAAGCUCGUGUAGCUAACCAUGCACUGCCACGAUGAUGAUAUCCAGAGAUGUCAUCUCUCUUUGCGGAUCUACACAGACUGUAGAUUUUUCUUCGGAGAUACAUAUCCCUAGAGAUAAAUCUUUCUCUCUUUAAUCCGAAACAUUCAACUGGCAAUUACUUGCAUCUCACGAAGAUUUUGCUGGAAGUGACCUUUGGUGGUUUUGGGACAAAACGUGAACCUUUCAUCUUUCUUGUGGCUGUAAGUGAUCAGAUAGAUAGAGGGAAAACCCUAUUUCCUGCCUUCCCAUACCUGCUGAGAGGGAGACGGGGGGCUGCUGGUGUGAGAUCACCAUCUUUCAGUGGACAGCAAGCUGCUUUAUGAAGACUGUGAUCUAAAUACAGAUGAGAUACCUGGCAAGGCUCCAAUUAUUGCUUCAGGACCUUGUAUAUCUUCUCUGCCUUCAGGACCCAGGUGUUGCCAGUUACUGCCGAUAUUCCUGACGUCAGAUACGGUUUCUUCCAUUCAUGAGGCCAACAGAACAGUUGGCCACAAGGAGUCUAACCUUAGGUGUUUUGUUUGAGAAACGUGUAGUACUGGCAUUGUUUUUCAUAGAGAGCUGUAGAAUUAUGGCUGGAGGACAGAGGCACUCUCCUGGGUGUGAAAUAUUGCAAGGAGGGAAUGCAUUCCGAACACAGGGGUGGCCUGGCAGAGGAGGGUACCAUGGAACAACUGUGGUUACCUCACUGCUCUGGCUCUGCGCUGACGGAGGGCACUGGGGAGAGAUCCAUCACUGCUGAUGUUGAGGCUUUGCCGAUAACCUCUGCCCGGGGCUGGGUGAAGCUACAAACGCUGCCCAGUCUUCAGAGGUACAGGACCAGUCUGUCAGGCUGUUGGCGCACAACAACAAUUGUUUUAUUGUCAGACAAUCGUGGUAAUCUGCAAGGAAUCUGUUUUCAAAGAAGCAUUUGAUGGACUGACACCCACUGGAGCCGGAGACAAGAUGAAAUGCUCCGAUUCAAAGCAGAUUAGGACUUACCGUUCUGGAAAUCAACCAAGGAUGCCCCAGCUCCAGCACUACGAAGGGAUCAGCACUUAAGGCUGGUCCUCACCUUAAAGCAAACAGAAACCAAACCCAUAGCACUGGACAAUGAACUCUCAAUUGCCCUAAGCCAUGGCUCAGAUGGGAAGCACCUAGCUUCCAGCAAGGGUACAAGUCUGUUUCAUGAUGCAUUGAUUCUGGAGACCUCAAUAUGUCAGCAUGGUGCUUCACACUGCAAGGCGUGCCCAAAGCUCUUCCCUCCACACAGCCAUCGUGGAGGGCACAGAUGCAGCUUUUCUGCAGUGAAGAUAUUGGUUUUUGUCACCACUUUCAGCUCUGGAAGAAAAAUUGUUCCUCCAGGUCUUGACAUCUGCUGCUAUUUAAAGGAACAUCAUCAUCACCAGUGCAUUCCUCUGGGAGUCUUAAGGUGGCUGAGGUUGGGCAUUGCAGAGUAGAACCCAGAGCUUCUCCAGGCAAAUAGAAGAGAUUGGAGAGACUCCAGUCCCCAGGAUGAUCACCACAGUUGCUCUGAAGAAGUCUCCUUUCAAUCCAAGUGGUGCUCACAUCCCCUCCCAGCCCUCAGACUCUCUUCAGAGGGAGGUAAAGAACCUAAAAAUAUCAGAUCUCUUCUUCCCAUCUGCCCCCCAGUGAAGCACUGUCCUCAAGCUGCUUGCCCUCCCUCAGCAUCCAUAAAGCAGAGCUAUUGGGGUCAGAAAGAUCAAUGGCAUCGUAAAACACUUCAAGCAUAUUCCUUCGCGUGGUGCCUUGGCUGGGAUGGCCAUUUAGUGGGCGUGAGGCCUUCAUGCACACAGCUGUGAUCUGUUUUUUCCAUUGCGGACUCUUCUUUGACCUACCUGCUUGGGAGAGUGAUGGGGUUCUGUCCUUAGUUCAGUUUUCCUUUUCUUGGAAAGCGAUAAAUCUGUUAGGGCUUGUGAGUAUUUUUUCCCUGCUUUAUAGCUUGCCAUAAAUAUUCAAUAGUACUGCGCUUGUGGCUGAGGGGCUGAUGGUUCCAGAUGACCCACGUCUGUGAUGCCAUGGAGUUCUCACCAACAAGAAAUAAGGGAUUAUUUCUUCUUAUUGGUGGCUUAAAAGUCAAGCUUGGCUUUGUUUCCCAGCUGCACACACAACAAUUUGUUUUUUCUCUGUGGUGCUCUCCUUCCUAUGGAGGUUUUGUUCUUAAUUUAACUCCUUUGAAGCCUCACUUCUGGUAGCCAUGCAGCAACACCAGCAGAGACAGGGCAUGAAAUGGAAAACUGUGACUGCAAAUAUCCCACAGGGGUCCAAUCCUGCAAAAGUCUGUGUUUUCAGGUUCAAGUGUUGGGGGCAUCUUGUCUCAGCUUGCUUAAAGCCAGAUUUGCAACUUUGGAAGAUUGAGGGGAAGUGAAGAUGUGCCCAUAGGGCUGAUGGAAGUAUUCACGCUCUCCUCUAGCCCCAUAAGUACAUAACGGUGAUGCAGAGCAGCUCAUUUGCAGAGUAUUUGCUACAGAAGAGCUAUCAUUUAUCAGAGGAGAUAUGUGCUUAAUGCAAAAAAGAGCCUGGGAUUGUGGAGCUGCUCUGCACAGCCUGUAGCUGAAGCAUGUUGUGAUACCCCUGGGUAAAGAUCAAACUGGAAAGGACUCACCGACAUCUGAUUCUCCUCAAUUUUAGUUGGAUCCAAAUCUAGCAAAAGGGCAUUUUACGUCUGGUCACAGUCCAAAAAGAUAUAGCGAAAUCACCUGGAGUUACAAAUGUGUUGCAGAACCUGUCCCUAAUCACAUUAAGAGCUCUAAACUGUAAGGCUCAAUUGUUUGCCAAAUGAAAUAUUCUCCUCCGGUAUUUGCAGAAAGGAAUUACAGUCUGUGAGUAAUGUUUUUCAUUUGGUAUCGAAGCACAGUUUCUAUUUUAUGGAUCCAAUCCUGAGCUUGGGGAAAGAGUCAUUAAAAAGGCUUUGUUUUGCAGGGGAGCGAGGGCAACGUUACCCUGUCUUCACCCCAUCUCGGGGCUGGGUUCUAUGCACCAGGACCAGCCGCUUCCAGCACAGACUGUGCCACCCCUGGUCCACUCCCAUCACCUGCAGUGCGAGGAGAUGUGGUGGUUGUGACACCCAGCAUUUGGGCAGCAGCAGGUCCAGGACUUUUCCCUUUGAGUGAGGCUUCCGAGCCUCUGGGGUUGACACCAUGAAGCUUUCUUCCACCCUUCUGAGAGAGCACUGUUUGUUGUUGUUGGAUCUGAGGUUGUGCUUAAAGGAUGGGAAGGCUGUGCCAUCACACGAUCUGGGCCUCCAGAGCCCAAAAGCUGCACCCAGCAGGCAUGAAGCCCAUGAAGCCCAUGAAGCAUCUGGUGGACUCCACGGUCCUCUGUCCCCCACUGGGUUCAUGGUGCCAAGGGCUGUGGGAUGGUCACACAACUCAGAGCUCCACUCCUUCCUGAUGGCUGCUCUAAAAUGCAGAACUCAUCUGUGAAUGUUGGAGAAAGGGAGGAAAGAGGCUGCGCUGCUGUUAUAAUGAGGACAAGGGGGUAAAUCCCAAUGCCUGUGUUUGAUCCUCAUCUCCUAUGUAUGGCCAAAAGGCUCCUGCCCAAGAUAAAGCCAACCCUUUUGUGCUGAUCAUAGCGGCUGUGGCUCCUGGUCUACCGAUGGAUGUACAUCAAUACCAGCCAUAGAUGUGCUGUCCUCUGGUAAAAUGAUGGACCAGAUACAAGGGGCUCAUACAACAAAACCCCAAAUCUUCAGCACCCAAAGGUAACAGAUAAAAUGAGAUCCUCUGUGGACUGUGUGUCAUCCUAUGCUGCUGCAACCCCAGCAUAAAAGCAAAGCAGCUGGUGUUUUGUACAGCGUGGAAGCUUGACCAACGUUUCAUGUGUUGUUGUGUUGAGCUGCAGGGGAAGGAGAACUCAAGCAGCCUCGUACCAUCUCAUGGCAAGCAGCCCUGCCCUGGGGACUUCGGCCUGACUUCUCAAAGCAUCUUAAUAUGCCCCAGCUGGCAGCAAUAAUUGGAUCGUUAUUAAAUAACUGUCUGCAGCAACAUACAAUCUGCAGUGUGCUGUACCGAUUAUUAUGUCUCCAUCUACCCACCCUACCUCACUGUGAUUCCCAUGAACCAUCUAUAACAGUGAUGACUCGGUAGCAAGAAUCUUUUGCAACAAAGAAACUACUCUGCUUUCUGCCAUGGAUAAUGCCCCCAGUUUAAUGAACCCUUCAUAUCAUUCUCGCCACCCUAAAUUAAAGGGUAGCUUAUGCAAUUAAACUGUUUAGCUUUCAGAAUGCCCCUCUCAGGGUUAUCUGCAAAAUGGGUUGAGAUGCAGCUGCUACUAAUAUUGCUUGUCUUAAAACUGGCAAAGGAAAAAUCACUUUCAUCUCUUUAUUUUCAGUAAUGUGCCUUUACUUUCAAUUAAGCUGAUUACUUGUACCAUCUUGUUCCUGAUCGCUGUCCCAUGAGGUUUUCCAAGCCAGGAAAUAUUUUAUGCAAUACAUAACUGUCAAUGUUUAGAGCUCUGUGUUUGUGUCUUUCAGGAAUGAGGGAAGAGCUGAGUCUUGUGGCCAAAUCUUACUCCAAUUUACACCAAUUUUAAUUCAAAGUCAAACUGUGGUUUGCAGUGGAAUUACUCCAGAUUUAUGCUGUUAGAUCAGAAUUUGCUCUCUUUUUUUCCCCCCAAACAGAAGUUUAAGGAAGCAGAGCAUAUCCCAAGAACUUCCUCCCCAGAUCUCUCUGAUGCAUCUGGAAUGUAUUGCUCUAUUUCCAGGGGUCAGAUACAUCCUGCUUUAACAGAGCAUCCUCGAGGACCCCCAGCAGAAGUCGCAGCACCCACCCUGAUGAGUGUGGUGUGAAAAGCGGCUGCUCCUGCUGGGUUUGGUCAUUGAUUACUUGGGAACAGAACAUGGAGCUGGUGGGACAGAGCAGGACUGGGUGGUGCCUUUGUGGUUCUCCAGUGCAGCCCGUGUCCCCAUCCAUGUCCCCAUCUUCCAAAGCGUCCCUUGUGCUGUUGUCCUGGGUUGUCUCUGGCAGCAAGUGUUAAAGACUCUGGAAUUCAGCAUUUCUUUCUCUCUUUUGUCCCCAAGAUGUCAAAACAGAGGCACAAAUAGAUGGCACAAAGGAAAAAAAAGAGCUCAUUUUUGCCAUUUCAUCGGGAAAGUCUCUGCUGUAAUUCAAUGUGUUCUAUUCAGGAUUAAUCCACAGCAAACUUCCCUUCUGCCUCAAACCUGUCAAGUGCCAAUAUUCAUUUUAAUGAUCUCAUUUUACAAAUAAUGGAAAGAAAAACAAUACAUUCAACAGAAAUGAGAUUAGAAAUGGGAGGGGAAUGAAUUACAAAUGCAAGAGUCCGUAGUUAUUCCAAGGAAGAUAAAUCUCAUUUUAAGUGGUCUCCAGUGAAACAGCAUCUUGCUAAGAAUAAAACAACCAAAAAACCAAAGCCAACAAAAAAGCCCACAUCUUUUGCUGAUAAAGAAAGGUGCAUGGCAGCAGCAGGGAGUGUUUUCUGACACAGAUCAGUUGUCAUAGUAUCUUGAGAUCAGUGAUACCUUGUUUUAAUUCUUGGCCUUGCCACAGUUUCCCAGUGAUAAAUCAUUUAACGCCUGGUGCCAGCAUUGCAGGACAGUCUGGAGUUGGUAGGAAU